AGCUCCAAUAGCGUAUACUAAUAUUGUUGCAGUUAAAAAGCUCGUAGUCGGAUUUCAGUAUUUCACAGUUUUUUUCGGAAUUCUGUUGUGAUACUUUCCUAACAUGACGUUUUAUUAGAUUAAUUUCUAGUACUUCUUAGUGUUUCUUUUACUUUGAGAAAAUUAGAGUGUUCAAAGCAGGUUUUCGCCUGAAUAUUACUCUUGGAAUAAUACUAUAGGACUCGGGUCUAAAGCUGUUGGUGUUUUUGGACUGGAGUAAUGAUUAAUAGGGACGGUUGGGGUGAUUCAUACUACAAAGCGAGAGGUGGAAUUCGUGGACCUUUGUAUGAUGAACAACUGCGAAAGCAUUUCACUAGGACGUUCCCG
rnacentral:rRNA from 1 species